GCAAUAUUACUAACAAAUUAUAAACAUAGACAUACCUUUCGCCGAACAUAACUUCGGCCCCUUGAGACGUAUGCUCAUUCUUGUAUUCUUGAUGAAUGAAGCAGUUAAAAAUAACACGUAUAGUGUUAUUUUCAAGCUUCUAUCUUUAAAACGUGAGUUUUCUUGCCGAAUUUUGCAUUUCUGCCCGAAUUUGCGUUAAUCCCAAACCGGAAAUACGACGAAAAACCGUCAAAACAAUGCGUAGUUUGUAUCGCGUGACUCUGGAAAUGCCAGAAAUGGAUUCUACAGGUCAAAGUGCACCCAUACGCGUGAGUUUGACGUCAUCCCGGCUAAAGGGAGCUCCUUAUUGGCCAAGUAUUACGUAAUACAAGCGCGUGCGAGUAAAACCCGAUACCUUGAAAAAUUCAAAAUAAAUAUUUCUACUC